AUGUGUAUUCUGCUGUUGUUGGAUGAAGUAGUCUAUAGAUGUCAGUUAUAUCCAGUCCAUUGAUGGUGGUGUUGAGUUUGACUAUGCCCUUAUUGAUUUUCUGCCUGCUGGAUCUGUUCACUUCUGAUAGAGGGAUGUUAAAGUCUCUAACUACAGGGGCUUCAUCUCAUUUC